rnacentral:lncRNA from 1 species
AGCUCUUGCCAUGACCUGAACCUCAGCAAAAAUCUGGUUUGUCCUGGCUUGUAAAAACUGGAGCAGCACAAAGACAGAAUCUAAAAUUGACUGGGUGAAGGUGUGUCAUAAGAUCUCCCCAUUACUAACCCUAAACAGAAGGGAACACRUAUAGGAUUUUUGACAGGAACUUCUCAUAUUUCACAUACAAGAUUUCAGGAUUUUCAUGCUGGGUAGGGUAUUUAUGCAAGGAUUUUUAUUUUUUUUUGGUAACAGGCAUGAAAGCUAAGCACAAAUUCAGCAGCACAGUGUUGCAUUUGAGUUCACUUUAACAGAACUCCCAUGAGAUUUUUGUGGAAGAACCAGGCAAAUUCCAAGCRGCCACCUGCUCGUUACCUGCACAGCUGCCUCUGUGGAAGAGGAACCCGUUUCCUUUUCAAAGAGCCAUUGCUAGAGAUCUGCUCCCACCAAAGAGCCAUUCAUUUCCCAUCAUCAGAAGUCACAUUAUGAGCUGCCUUUUUCUGCUCUGAGGAACUGGAGCAGAAGCUGUGGGCCCACUUCCAUCUAUAGGGCAGGGGAGUUUCCAUAAGCUGACGAGAGUAGCUCUUACUGAAAUCUGGACUAAGCUAACUGGCAAGUAUGAGAUAUUCAGAGAGGAGGAAACCAAGCAAGUGAGCAGGGUGGGGGGGAACCGAGUGAGCAGGAGGUGGAACAAGCAAGCGAAUGGGCAGUCCUGAAAGUGCUCCAAAACUCAGAAAGUUUGCAAGAUCGGGUACCUUGCAUCUACAUCAUCUUGUUGGUAACAAAACCCAUCCACCUUAAAAUCCUACUUGUUUCUGAAGCAAAUCACAUGGCUCUAAGAUUGCAGCCAUCAUUAAUCAUCAAUAUAUUUAAGCCAAGCACCAUAAGAUUUAAGAAAGCAUACCCAAGCCUAGCAUGUUUGCAUCACGCAGUGUGAUCAGUAGAAAGGCACAGCAUGUACUCAGCACUUGACCAUUAAUUUAUUUGGAAAAAAAUAACAUCAGURAAAGAAUAAGGCUUAUACAAACACUGACUGUGUUUUUAUCAGCAGAUCAGCUCCAACAGCACAGCCUGCCAG